GAUGAACGCUGGCGGCGUGCCUGAUACAUGCAAGUCGAACGAGGUGCUUUUGUAGCAAUACGAGAGUAUCCUAGUGGCGAACGGGUGAGUAACGCGUGGGUGACCUGCCCCAAAGUGUGGGAUAACAGUCCGAAAGGAUUGCUAAUACCUCAUGUGGUUAUCGGGUUUAGAAACCGAUAACUAAAGCAGCAAUGCGCUUUGGGAGGGGCCUGCGUCCCAUCAGCUAGUUGGUAGGGUAACGGCCUACCAAGGCGACGACGGGUAGGGGACCUGAGAGGGUGGCCCCCCACAAUGGAACUGAAACACGGUCCAUACACCUACGGGUGGCAGCAGUAGGGAAUAUUGCUCAAUGGGCGAAAGCCUGAUGCAGCGACGCCGCGUGGAGGAUGAAGGCCUUCGGGUUGUAAACUCCUUUUGUAGGGGAAGAUAAUGACGGUACCCUAUGAAUAAGCCACGGCUAACUCUGUGCCAGCCGCCGCCGUAAUAC
rnacentral:rRNA from 1 species